rnacentral:rRNA from 1 species
GAUGAACGCUGGCGGCGUGCCUAAUACAUGCAAGUCGAGCGAACAGAUGAGGAGCUUGCUCCUCUGACGUUAGCGGCGGACGGGUGAGUAACACGUGGAUAACCUACCUAUAAGACUGGGAUAACUUCGGGAAACCGGAGCUAAUACCGGAUAAUAUAUUGAACCGCAUGGUUCAAUAGUGAAAGACGGUUUUGCUGUCACUUAUAGAUGGAUCCGCGCCGCAUUAGCUAGUUGGUAAGGUAACGGCUUACCAAGGCAACGAUGCGUAGCCGACCUGAGAGGGUGAUCGGCCACACUGGAACUGAGACACGGUCCAGACUCCUACGGGAGGCAGCAGUAGGGAAUCUUCCGCAAAGGGCGAAAGCUUGACGGAGCAACGCCGCGUGAGUGAUGAAGGUCUUCGGAUCGUAAAACUCUGUUAUUAGGGAAGAACAAAUGUGUAAGUAACUAUGCACGUCUUAACGGUACCUAAUCAGAAAGCCACGGCUAACUACGUG